rnacentral:sRNA from 1 species
CGGGCGAGGAGAUGGUUGACAGAAUGUGCCGCUCAAGGAGUUGUGGAACAACAAUUUCCCAUCUACAAAUCUAUACCAGGGACAAGCAAUGCUAACUCGAGGAAGAGGAAACUUGGUUGAAUGAGGCCUAUAACACAGGCAGAUACUGUCAACUAAGUUCUAGGUAUGUAAUGAUCAUGUUGGUGAUCAACUUGAUACUGUUAUUUUUGUUGCUCCUGCUAUCUAGCUACUUUGGGUGUCCUGUAAACAAAAGGGGGUGAGCAGAACUGUUCCAAGGUUACUGUUGGGGCGCCAUCUGGUGGUAGAGGGUAUUCCUCUACAGAUUAUGAAGCCC